GUUAAAUUUAGAAUAUGAACAUUCAUUUUGAAUGACAAUGGAAGUUGGUAAGAAGCCAACACUGUACCCGCAACUGUGUGAACAUCUUAAGAUGUUUGAGUCAGGAACAUUGGUUAUAUUCUAAAUUCAC
rnacentral:ncRNA from 2 species